GCCCGCCUAGCUCAAUCGGCUAGAGCGUCAGACUUUUAAGGCAUUCUCAUGCUUGAGUCAUCUGAAGGCUGCGAGUUCGACCCUCGCGGUGGGCU